rnacentral:rRNA from 1 species
UCCCUACGGGACGCAGCAGUGAGGAAUAUUGGUCAAUGGCCGGAAGGCUGAACCAGCCAAGCCGCGUGAAGGACGAAGGUGCCAAGCAUUGUAAACUUCUUUUGUCAAGGGACAAAAUCAGGCUCGAGAGCCUGACCGAGGGUACUUGAAGAAAAAGCAUCGGCUAACUCCGUGCCAGCAGCCGCGGUAAUACGGAGGAUGCGAGCGUUAUCCGGAUUUAUUGGGUUUAAAGGGUGCGUAGGCGGACUGUAAGUCCACCGGUAAAACCCCGGG